rnacentral:rRNA from 1 species
UAUGUGAUCGUCUCUCGCAUAUCAAUAAGCGGAGGAAAAGAAACUAACAAGGAUUCCCCUAGUAACGGCGAGUGAAGCGGGAAGAGCUCAAAUUUGAAAUCUUAAAGGGUCUCCCUUUACGAAUUGUAGUUUAAAGAAGUGUUUUCUGUUGAGGUUUUGGUAAAAGUUCUUUGGAAUAGGACAUCAUAGAGGGUGAGAAUCCCGUAUUUGACCUUUACUUUCAACUUUGUGAUACACUUUCAAAGAGUCGGAUUGUUUGGGAAUGCAGUCCAAAAUGGGUGGUAAAUUUCAUCUAAAGCUAAAUAUUGGCGAGAGACCGAUAGCGAACAAGUACCGUGAGGGAAAGAUGAAAAGAACUUUGAGAAGAGAGUUAAACAGUACGUGAAAUUGUCAAAAGGGAAGCGUUUGACACCAGUGUUGUUUUUCUGAAAAUCAAUUAAAGAACUGUUUAUGCUAAGCUGUUUAGACUUUAUCAGCUAUCUGUUUAGUUUUGAGCUUUUCUUUAAUGCACUUUUCAGUUAACAAGUCAACAUCAAUUUCUUUUGCUGUAAAAAAGCUUGAGGAAGGUGGCUUGAGAUUCGUCUUAAGUGUUUAUAGCCUCUUGCCUAUGCAGUCGGAGAGAUUGAGGUCUGCAGCGUAGAUCCUUCGGGGCUAAAUGCAUUUGUGCUAAGUUAUAGCAUUUUAUAGACAGCUUGUUGACUAUGAUUUGUCUUGUAGCUUACUCGCUUAUGUUAUUUUACCUACGCUUAGGAUGUUGAGCGCAUGUCUCUCUCU